GACGAACGCUGGCGGCGUGCUUAACACAUGCAAGUCGAACGGAAAGGCCCUGCUUUUGUGGGGUGCUCGAGUGGCGAACGGGUGAGUAACACGUGAGUAACCUGCCCUUGACUUUGGGAUAACUUCAGGAAACUGGGGCUAAUACCGGAUAGGAGCUCCUGCUGCAUGGUGGGGGUUGGAAAGUUUCGGCGGUUGGGGAUGGACUCGCGGCUUAUCAGCUUGUUGGUGGGGUAGUGGCUUACCAAGGCUUUGACGGGUAGCCGGCCUGAGAGGGUGACCGGCCACAUUGGGACUGAGAUACGGCCCAGACUCCUACGGGAGGCAGAAGUGGGGAAUAUUGCACAAUGGGCGGAAGCCUGAUGCAGCAACGCCGCGUGCGGGAUGACGGCCUUCGGGUUGUAAACCGCUGUCGCCUGUGACGAAGCGUGAGUGACGGUAAUGGGUAAAAAAGCACCGGCUAACUACGUG
rnacentral:rRNA from 1 species